CGCGUAGGCGGGACGUCAAGUUAGGGGUGAAAGGCCUGGGCUCAACCUAGGAACUGCCUCUAAAACUGACGUUCUGGAGUCCGGGAGAGGAUGGCGGAAUUCCCAGUGUAGAGGUGAAAUUCGUAGAUAUUGGGAAGAACACCAGUGGCGAAGGCGGCCAUCUGGUCCGGCACUGACGCUGAGGCGCGAAAGCGUGGGGAGCAAACA
rnacentral:rRNA from 1 species